AAUCUUGUCUCAAAGAUUAAGCCAUGCAUGUCUAAGUAUAAGCAAUCUAUACUGUGAAACUGCGAAUGGCUCAUUAAAUCAGUUAUAGUUUAUUUGAUAGUACCUUUACCUGGAUAACCGUGGUAAUUCUAGAGCUAAUACAUGCCAAAAACCCCGACUCCGGAAGGGGUGUAUUUAUUAGAUAAAAAACCAAUGCCCUCCGGGGCUCCUUGGUGAUUCAUGAUAACUUAACGAAUCGCAUGGCCUUGCGCCGGCGAUGGUUCAUUCAAAUUUCUGCCCUAUCAACUUCGAUGUAGAG
rnacentral:rRNA from 1 species